rnacentral:rRNA from 1 species
UACGUAGGGACCAAGCGUUGUUCGGAUUUACUGGGCGUAAAGGGCGCGUAGGCGGCGCGGUAAGUCACUUGUGAAAUCUCUGAGCUUAACUCAGAACGGCCAAGUGAUACUGCAGUGCUAAAGUGUGGAAGGGGCAAUCGGAAUUCUUGGUGUAGCGGUGAAAUGCGUAGAUAUCAAGAGGAACACCUGAGGUGAAGACGGGUUGCUGGGCCAACACUGACGCUGAGGCGCGAAAGCCAGGGGAGCAAACGGG